rnacentral:rRNA from 1 species
AUUGAACGCUGGCGGCAGGCCUAACACAUGCAAGUCGAACGGUAGCACAGAGAGCUUGCUCUCGGGUGACGAGUAGCGGACGGGUGAGUAACGUCUGGGAAACUGCCCGAUGGAGGGGGAUAACUACUGGAAACGGUAGCUAAUACCGCAUAACGUCGCAAGACCAAAGUGGGGGACCUUCGGGCCUCACACCAUCGGAUGUGCCCAGAUGGGAUUAGCCAGUAGGUGGGGUAAUGGCUCACCAAGGCGACGAUCCCUAGCUGGUCUGAGAGGAUGGGCAGCGAGACUGGAACUAAGACAGAGUCCAGACUCCUACGGGAGGCAGCAGUGGGGAAUAUUGCAAAAUGGGCGCAAGCCUGAUGCGGCCAUGCCGCGUGUAUGAAGAAGGCCUUCGGGUUGUAAAGUACUUUCAGCGGGGAGGAAGGCGGUGAAGUUAAUAGCUUAACCGAUUGACGUUACCCGCAGAAGAAGCACCGGCUAACUCCGUGCCAGCAGCCGCAGUAA